GCAGUGCCUUGAAAGAUUCAGACCUCCCAUAGCCCGAGUGAUUGAUGUAUCUAAUGGGAAAGUUCAUGUUGCUGAAAGCUGUUUGGAAGAAACAGGUGGCCUGGGAGUAGAUAUUGUCCUAGAUGCUGGAGUGAGAUUAUAUAGUAAAGAUGAUGAACCAGCUGUAAAACUACAACUACUACCACAUAAACAUGAUAUCAUCACACUUCUUGGUGUUGGAGGCCACUGGGUAACAACAGAAGAAAACCUUCAGUUGGAUCCUCCAGAUAGCCACUGCCUUUUCCUCAAGGGAGCAACGUUAGCUUUCCUGAAUGAUGAAGUUUGGAAUUUGUCAAAUGUACAACAGGGAAAGUAUCUUAAAGGAUGUGAUGGAGAAGUUAUCAACUGGUGUUUUCAGACCUCAGUUGGAUGAACCCAUUCCACUGUAUGAGGCAAAAGUUUCCAUGGAAGCUGUUCAGAAAAAUCAAGGAAGAAAAAAGCAAGUUGUUCAAUUUUAAUUUUCUUCUUUCUCAGACCUCAGUCGGAUGAACAUAUUCCAGUAUUUGAAGCCAGAAUUUUCUUUGGAAAUUGUUGAGAAAAACCAAGGAAGAUAAAACAAGUUGCAUUUUUAAGCACGUUUCUCUGCUAAGACAAGAUGCUCAGUUGACACAUUUGAAAAGUGUUUGAAAAAUUCUUGUGCAAAUGAUCAAGAUAAUUCUAUAAUUAACAUCUUAAGGGAAUUUUUCUAAAAACCUUUUCAUUGUUUCUAUAUAUUUUGCCCCUGCUAUAAAAUUCCUUCCAUGAAGAAAACUGCUGCUUUCAGCAAAAGUCACACUACUCUUGAUAAAAGCUGUUGCAGGCCUUUGCUAAGCUAUCAAA
rnacentral:lncRNA from 1 species